rnacentral:lncRNA from 1 species
CAGUGGGGCACUGACUGGUGUCUAAGAUGCUUGAGGCAGGGCAGGCAGACCUGCAGUCACUCCUCUGCAGAGUCGCACACCGGGGCGUGUGGGCUCUCAGCCCUCACCCCACCCAGCAGGAGGGCGUGGGGAGGCGGGGCAGCGGGUUGGACCAGGUCUCCUGACAUGGGGCUGCAGCCAGGUGGGGUUGGGCUCCUGGGAUUCCCAUGCGCGUGGACGGUGGGUCAGAUGCUGUAGCCGCCAUCUGAAGCCGACGUGUGAAACUUCAGCUUCUUAGCAAGGUAGACUGAUGCUUUUUUUUAUUUUUUAAGACUGAGUUUCGCUCUUAUGGACCAGGCUGGAGUGCAAUGGCAUGUUCUCGGCUCACUGCAAUCUCUGCCUCCUGGGUUCAAGUGAUUCUUGUGCCUCAGCCUCCCACGUAGCUGGGAUUACAGGCGCCCACCAGGCCUGGCUCAUCUUUUGCAUUUUUAGUAGAGAUGGGGUUUUGCCAUGUUGGCCAGGGCUGGUCUCCAUCUCUUGACCUCAGGUGAUCCGCCUGCCUCAGCCUCCCAAAGUGUUGGGAUCACAGGCGUGAGCCACCACACCCGGCCUCCCGCGCGACCCUGGCACUGUUAAAAUUUUUUUUUUUUUUAAACAAACUUCAGCUUCUUAGACGGGCUUUCAGGGCUACAGAAAUCGCUCACGUUUUACACCCGCUUAUGUAAGUGUGUGUGCGCUGGAGCGGGUGUACACAGGCAUGUUCACUGCACCUGUAUACAGGUGCAGGCGUUUCAGGGGGGCAUUAGCUACACAGCAUUUCUCAACCUUUUGGAAGCUGGGGUAAUUUGGCUCUGAAACCUGUUCCCUGGGUCGUGCCCUCUUGCGGAUCCAGGAGAGCAGGGACAUUUGCCUGUGCGUUCACUGCCGUAUUCUUGGUGUCUGGAGCAGUGCCUGACCUGUGGCGGGUGCUUAGUGAGUUAUCCGUGCAAUGAAUGAAUGAAUCAAUGAAUGAAUGAAUGAAUGAAUGAACGAACCAGCCGGAACCUUGCUGGCCGUUGACUGAAAAUGUCUGGAUUCAAUUGACUGAAUCAAACAGACUUAGAGCUUGAGAGGGAAAAAUUAUUUCACUUAGAAAAUAAAAGUUAUCUCUGCAGGACUAGACAUGAAAGGAAAAAAAAAAGAAAAAAGAAAAAAGUUCUACCUUUGCCCCCGCGGUUCUCAGGUUUCACCUGACGUGGUGAAAUACGCUGUAGGUCACAUGCGUAGGUUUGGCCGCUGGCCGUCCAGUAGUCCUCCCACCCCGGGGGACGGGUGCGGGGGGUGACCCGGUGAAGAGGGCAGGGAGCUGGGGCAGCCUGCUGUGCGGAGCUGGGGGAGGAGGAGGGAGCCCUGGGGGACAGACAGAAGGACCAUCGAAGGAGAAACCCUGCUGGCCUCGGGACCUGGAGGAAAGAACCAGGGCCCGUGCUCCUUGGGCCAGGAUCCGGCGAUUGGACGGAACCUCUCGGAUUCCCCAGUGCUGUGAAAUCCACUUGGGGCCAUCACACCCUUCAUUGCUGUGCUCCCUGGCAGAACUCGAAUGCAGCGUGAGCUGGGCACUUUUCCCAGGGUUUGCUCUAGGUCUGGGUCUCCCAUCAGCUCCCCCGGAGCAGAGCCUGAGGCAAGGAUUCUUGUUCGGGGGCAUCUUCCUCUCAGCACCGUGCUUUGGGAAUCGAGUGAUGGUGCUGAGUGAACCCCUGAGUGAACAUCUGUGGCUUCCUCCCACCUCGUCUCUGGAUGCACUCCUGUUCGAAUGGGUGUCUGUACAUGCUUGUCCCCUCCCCACGGUGGCGUGCUCAAUGGUGGCUCCCCACAGAUAUGUCCGUGUCCUAAUUCCCGGAGCCUUUGGGUCUCAUGUAGCCAAUGAUGUGAAAAAGUGAAGGAUGCUGAGAGGAGAUCAUCCAGGUGGGCUCUGAACAGUAUCCUGUGCAUCUUUCUAAUAAGAGGGGUUCACCGGGAUCCUGUGCAUCUUUCUAAUAAGAGGGGCUCACCGGGUGCGGGGGCUCACGCCUAUCAUCCCAGCACUUUGGGAGGCCAAGACGGGCAAAUCACGUGAGGUCUGGAGUUUGGAACUAGCCUGGGCAUCAUGGUGAAACUCCGUCUCUACUAAAACUACAAAAAUCAGCCAGGCGUGGUGGCCUGUAAUCCCAGCUACUCCGGAGGCUGAGGCCUGAGAAUCGCUUGAACCCGGGAGGUGGAGAUCACGCCAUUGCACUCCAGCCUGGGUGACAGAGUGAAACUUCACCUGAAAAAAAAAAAGAGGGUUCCACAGAGGGGACGCAAACAGGAGGGGACAGCGUGGCCAUGGAGGCAGCAGGGAGUGGCACAGCCAUCAUGACAAUAAGAAAAGACAGGACUUAAACACAUAAAUAAUUUCCACUGUUUUAAACUACCAUGUUUGUGGUAAUUUGUUACAGCAGUGGCAGGAAAUUAAUACACCCAUC